AUGAACGCUAGCUACAGGCUUAACACAUGCAAGUCGAGGGGCAUCAGGAAGAAAGCUUGCUUUCUUUGCUGGCGACCGGCGCACGGGUGAGUAACACGUAUCCAACCUGCCCUUUACUCGGGGAUAGCCUUUCGAAAGAAAGAUUAAUACCCGAUGGCAUAAUGAUUCCGCAUGGUUUCAUUAUUAAAGGAUUCCGGUAAAGGAUGGGGAUGCGUUCCAUUAGGUUGUUGGUGGGGUAACGGCCCACCAAGCCUUCGAUGGAUAGGGGUUCUGAGAGGAAGGUCCCCCACAUUGGAACUGAGACACGGUCCAAACUCCUACGGGAGGCAGCAGUGAGGAAUAUUGGUCAAUGGGCGCUAGCCUGAACCAGCCAAGUAGCGUGAAGGAUGAAGGCUCUAUGGGUCGUAAACUUCUUUUAUAUAAGAAUAAAGUGCAGUAUGUAUACUGUUUUGUAUGUAUUAUAUGAAUAAGGAUCGGCUAACUCCGUGCCAGCAGCCGCGGUAAUACGGAGGAUCCGAGCGUUAUCCGGAUUUAUUGGGUUUAAAGGGAGCGUAGGUGGACUGGUAAGUCAGUUGUGAAAGUUUGCGGCUCAACCGUAAAAUUGCAGUUGAUACUGUCAGUCUUGAGUACAGUAGAGGUGGGCGGAAUUCGUGGUGUAGCGGUGAAAUGCUUAGAUAUCACGAAGAACUCCGAUUGCGAAGGCAGCUCACUGGACUGCAACUGACACUGAUGCUCGAAAGUGUGGGUAUCAAACAGGAUUAGAUACCCUGGUAGUCCACACAGUAAACGAUGAAUACUCGCUGUUUGCGAUAUACAGUAAGCGGCCAAGCGAAAGCGUUAAGUAUUCCACCUGGGGAGUACGCCGGCAACGGUGAAACUCAAAGGAAUUGACGGGGGCCCGCACAAGCGGAGGAACAUGUGGUUUAAUUCGAUGAUACGCGAGGAACCUUACCCGGGCUUAAAUUGCAGUGGAAUGAUGUGGAAACAUGUCAGUGAGCAAUCACCGCUGUGAAGGUGCUGCAUGGUUGUCGUCAGCUCGUGCCGUGAGGUGUCGGCUUAAGUGCCAUAACGAGCGCAACCCUUAUCUUUAGUUACUAACAGGUUAUGCUGAGGACUCUAGAGAGACUGCCGUCGUAAGAUGUGAGGAAGGUGGGGAUGACGUCAAAUCAGCACGGCCCUUACGUCCGGGGCUACACACGUGUUACAAUGGGGGGUACAGAAGGCAGCUAGCGGGUGACCGUAUGCUAAUCCCAAAAGCCUCUCUCAGUUCGGAUCGAAGUCUGCAACCCGACUUCGUGAAGCUGGAUUCGCUAGUAAUCGCGCAUCAGCCACGGCGCGGUGAAUACGUUCCCGGGCCUUGUACACACCGCCCGUCAAGCCAUGGGAGCCGGGGGUACCUGAAGUACGUAACCGCAAGGAUCGUCCUAGGGUAAAACUGGUGACUGGGGCU
rnacentral:rRNA from 1 species